UCAUUACUGAAUGGUCAAACAUGGGUUGUUGCUGGCCUCCCAAAAGGGGCAUGUGCACGCUCUGUUUACACAUCCACUCACACCUGUGCACCCUCUGUAGUUUUAUGGUUCGGGAGACCCUGUCUUCCUGCUGUAGCUCUACGUCUUUACACACACGCCGUAGUGAUGUCCUGUGGAAUGUUUUUCUGCGUUUAACGCAAUACAAUACAACUUUCAGCAACGGAUCUCUUGGCUCUCGCAUCGAUGAAGAACGCAGCGAAAUGCGAUAAGUAAUGUGAAUUGCAGAAUUCAGUGAAUCAUCGAAUCUUUGAACGCACCUUGCGCCCCUUGGUUAUUCCGAGGGGCAUGCCUGUUUGAGUAUCAUGAACACCUCAACUCUCAUGGUCUUCCAUGACGAGCUUGGAUUUUGGGGGUUUGCUGGCCCUGUGGCCGGCUCCUCUCAAAUGAAUCAGCCUGCCAGUGUUUGGUGGCAUCACGGGUGUGAUAACUAUCUACGCUCGCCGUUGUCUGCCAGGUAACCCUCAGCGAUGAAGGUUCAUUGGGGCUCAUAGACGUCUCUCCUCGGUGAGGACAACUUUUGAACGUUCGAUCUCAAAUCAGGUAGGACUACCCGCUGAACUUAAGCAUAUCAAUAAGCGGAGGAAAAGAAACUAACAAGGAUUCCCCUAGUAACUGCGAGUGAAGCGGGAAGAGCUCAAAUUUAAAAUCUGGCGUGCCUCUGGUCGUCCGAAUUGUAGUCUGGAGAAGCG
rnacentral:rRNA from 1 species